rnacentral:rRNA from 1 species
UACUUGGAUAACUGUGGUAAUUCUAGAGCUAAUACACGCACGGGGCGCAUUUAUUAGACAAAACCAAUUCUGGUGAAUCUGAAUAACUCAUGGUCUCUGCACCGGCGACGUAUCAUUCAAGUGUCUGCCCUAUCAACUUUCGAUGGUAGUUUAUAUGACUACCAUGGUUGCAACGGGUAACGGAGAAUAAGGGUUCGACUCCGGAGAAGCAGCCUGAGAAACGGCUACUACAUCCAAGGAAGGCAGCAGGCGCGCAAAUUACCCAAUCUCAGCGAGGAGGUAGUGACGAGAAAUAACGAGGCUAUGCCCUUAGCUAUCGGAAUGAAGACAAUUUAAAUCCUUUACUGAGGAUCUAGCGGAGGGCAAGUCUGGUGCCAGCAGCCGCGGUAAUUCCAGCUCCGCUAGUGUAUACCACGAGUACUGCGGUUAAAAAGCUCGUAGUCGGAUCUUCAUGGAUACGGGUCCACCUGAUGGGUGCGUUGCCAGAAUUCGGGGCGUUCUCUUUACUGAGCGCGUUCCGGGACUGGUGCUUUUACCUUGAGAAAAUUGGAGUGCUCAGAACAGGCGCUUGCCUGAACAGUUGUGCAUGGAAUAAUGGAAUAGGAGGUCCUAUUUUGUUGGUUUUAGGGAUUGAGAUAAUGAUUAAGAGGGACAGGCGGGGGCAUUCGUAUUGCGACGUUAGAGGUGAAAUUCUUGGA